UAAUUUAUCUUUUAAUUAAGAUUAUUAGAAAUUUAUUUUCUAGUUAUGAUUGGGGUGAUUUUUAAAGAUUAUUAAUCUUUAAAAUUUUUUAAUAAAAAAGUUCCAUUAGUAGUGAUUUUUUGAUAAAAAUACUCUAGGGAUAACAGCGUUAUUUUUUUGGAUAGUUCAUAUAGAUAAAAUAGUUUGCGACCUCGAUGUUGGAUUAGGAUUCUUUUAUGAUGAAGAAGUUAUAAGGGAGAAGUUUGCUCAACUUUUAAAGUCCUACUUGAUCUGAGUUCAGACCGGG
rnacentral:rRNA from 1 species